UACGAAGGGGGCUAGCGUUGUUCGGAAUUACUGGGCGUAAAGCGCGCGCAGGCGGUCUUCCAAGUCAGUGGUGAAAGCCCGGAGCUCAACUCCGGAACUGCCAUUGAAACUGUAAGACUUGAGGACGAGAGAGGUGAGUGGAAUUCCCAGUGUAGAGGUGAAAUUCGUAGAUAUCGAGAGGAACACCGGUGGCGAAGGCGGCCAACUGGACGAAUACUGACGCUGAGACACGAAAGCGUGGGGAGCAAACAGG
rnacentral:rRNA from 1 species